rnacentral:rRNA from 1 species
UACGGAAGGCAGCAGUGGGGAAUAUUGCACAAUGGGCGAAAGCCUGAUGCAGCUAUGCCGCGUGUAUGAAGAAGGCCUUAGGGUUGUAAAGUACUUUCAUCGGGGAGGAAAAACAAAACUAAUAAUUUUAUUUCUUGACGUUACCCGAAAAAGAAGCACCGGCUAACUCCGUGCCAGCAGCCGCGGUAAUACGGAGGGUGCUAGCGUUAAUCAGAAUUACUGGGCGUAAAGAGCACGUAGGUGGUUUUUUUAAGUCAGAUGUGAAAUCCCUGGGCUUAACCUAGGAACUGCAUUUUGAAACUGAAAUACUAGAGUAUCGUAGAGGGAGGUAGAAUUCUAGGUGUAGCGGUGAAAUGCGUAGAUAUCUGGAGGAAUACCUGUGGCGAAAGCGGCCUCCUAAACGAAUACUGACACUGGAGGGUGCGAAAGCGUGGGGAGCAAACAGGGAUUAGACUAC